rnacentral:pre_miRNA from 1 species
UUGUGUGUGUGGAUGGUGUUCAGCACCAGGGACUGGUUUGUGUGUGUGUGUGCGGAUGGUGUUCAGCACCAGGGACAGGUUUGUGUGUGU